AUUGAACGCUGGCGGCAGGCCUAACACAUGCAAGUCGAGCGAGCGGCGGACGGGUGAGUAAUGUCUGGGAAACUGCCUGAUGGAGGGGGAUAACUACUGGAAACGGUGGCUAAUACCGCAUACCAUCAGAUGUGCCCAGAUGGGAUUAGCUAGUAGGUGGGGUAAAGGCUCACCAAGGCGACGAUCCCUAGCUGGUCUGAGAGGAUGAACAGCCACACUGGGACUGAGACACGGCCCAGACUCCUACGGGAGGCAGCAGUGGGGAAUAUUGGACAAUGGGCGCAAGCCUGAUGCAGCCAUGCCGCGUGUGUGAAGAAGGCCUUCGGGUUGUAAAGCACUUUCAGCGGGGAGGCGUUACUCGCAGAAGAAGCACCGGCUAACUCCGUGCCAGCAGCCGCGGUAAUAC
rnacentral:rRNA from 1 species